rnacentral:lncRNA from 1 species
UUUUUUUUUUUUUUUUUUUUUUUUUUGUCCUUGGCUCCACUGGCGCAUAGUACAUCAUAGGAUCAACGAUCAUCAAGUCAUUUUAGGGUCAGGAUUCAGACCUCUUAGUUUUCAACCAACAAUUAGUCAUAAAAGAUGUAAAUUAUGUUAUACAAAAGUGAGGCUGUUGGAUUUGUGUUUGCAAACGUUGUCUUAUGGUUAUGAUUUUGUUAAUCCAAAAAUUAUACUUACUAUAACUCUAUAAGAGAAAUUAUAAGUCUGAUAAUUUGGAGAAAGUGCUAAGUGAAACCAUAACUAUGUUUAGUGUCCUACAUAGUACACAACGUAACUACAAAAGUGCUAAGUAGUUGGCGGUAUCUGUAGCACGUGUCUUUAUUUUUUAUCAAAAGAUCCAGGACCAUUGCCCGUCAAAUUAAUUGUAAGAGCACACGAGUGUCAUAGAAGUGUAGAAAUCACGCCUCUUCCAAGUCCUAUGUUAACAUGGAUAUAAUAAUGAAUUUGUAGUGUUCAAGCAAGUGCUUACCAAAACAUUUAUAUCAAAGUAUUUAUUGCCUAAAUAUACAAAUAUUAUGGUGCGUGCAAAUUGUCGUGAAGCUAUUAACAUAAAGUUAUCAAUCCUCAAUGGACAUCAAUAAGGAUAUUUAUGACUAAAUUCAAUGGGGGUGUGGACUAUUGAUGAAACCAUAAAUGCUUUGACUGAUAAUUUGACGAUGUGAGCGAUAGCUUCACGUUACAUUUUUGCAAAAUACGUGCAAGUUGCUAGAAGAGGGGCAAAAUGCCAAAACAUGUACGCCUAGUGGGACCUAUAUUAAGGGUAAAAUAAGUGUCUUAGAGAUGUUCGUAAGGGCAAGGUGUACAUUAAUACAUUCAUAAGAGUGAGUGUGCAUAUAUAUAUAUAUAUAUAUAUAUAUAUAUAUAUAUAUAUAUAUAUAUAUAUAUAUAUAUAUAUAUAUAUACACACACACACGCGCGCGCGCGAACAGCUACCUGUAUACUGUGAUUUAUAGAACAACAUGAAGUUUCAUGAGAUGUAUUCCUAUUUCUUAUUUGGUGUAAAAAUUUAUCCAUUUCGAGAACUAAUUCAUGUCUUAGGAUCUGAUUAGAAUAUAGGAAUGUCAAAAUCAAACUGUGUUCUGCUUCGUUGACUCAGGAGCCACCUUAUCGUCAUGGAUCGCGGCUUUGCGUCCCCGGAUCAUGUCUAUAGGUGUACCUCCAUGCGCAGAGCAAGUAGAGAAAGAAGGAGACGAGCCCGAACAUGGCGAGGAGCCAGUAGAACAGAUCGAGGCGGCUGGCGUUGAGGUUAGCGCCGUCGAGCCAGCCAUGUCCCCCGCCGUGGCGGGCGGUGGUGCGGUUGACCAACUGGAUGAGGAAGCUCCCGAGCCACGACGCGACGCCGAGGAUGCAGAAGACAAUGGCGCCGCCGAUGGACUUCAUGCCGGCGGAGGCCUCGCUGUAAAAGAACUCGAGCAGGCCAACAAAGGAUGUGACGUCCAUCACGCCCAGCAGGAAGAACUGUGGCGUGAGCCAGAACACCGACAUCGUCGGGGCCCCCGCGAACGCCCCGCUCCUCCGGCGGCCCUCCACGGCGGCGGCGACGGCGAGCGCCAUGACGCUGAACACGAACCCAACGCCCACGCGCUGCAGGUGCGUGACGCCGCCGGCGUACCCCGUCGCGCGGCGCAGCCACGGCACGAAGAGCCGGUCGUAGGCGACCAGGGUGAGCAUCUGGAAGACGAUGGGGACGAUGAAGAGGCUCGCCGGCGGGAUGCUGGUUCCGCCGAGGCGGGUGUCCAUGGUGCCGCCCUGCUGCACGGUGAGGGAGAGGAGCAGAGGGAUGGGGACGUUGCCGAGGACGGAGCUGAGGAAGAUGGGCACCAUGCGGAGGAUGAUCUUGGCCUCCUCCACCUGCGUCACCGUGCACAGCGACCACCCCCGCGUGUCGCCGUCGUCCACCGCUGCCUUGUCGAGGAACCUUUGUACGUGAGCGACGAAAAGUCAAUCAAACUGUGCACCAAUUGUUAUGAAUUAUGAUCAUGACAAACAUAUGCAUGCGGUUUGCCGGCUUCCAUGUUUGCACACCACGAAUAAUGGAGAUUUAAAAAUAAGCAAUCAUCAAACUAUGGUUGUCUUUUGCUUUUGACAAUUUCUCAGCGUGUUUGGUAUGUUGAACCAAGUCUUUGGACUGACUAUAUAUUGUAAGGUUGUGAUGGUGCAAUGCAGCCAAUGGGCAGAACUUUAGUUUCAUUAUCUAGGAAAAAUGUCUCCAAACUGAACAUUAUACAUCAGAUAUUUUUAUGGUCAAGAUUUCAAAAGAUUCACUAUAUCCAAAACAUGAGUCUUUGCAUCGUAACUGGAAAAUGGCAACUAUGAAAAUUGCUUUUAGGUGUUUCUUUCAGUCCAAUAAAGUUAAUACGAAGACGACAGGACGCCCUCUUACUUGAAGCCUGAAGUUCUCUCCAGGAAUUCAACGCUCGUGCCUGUGCUUUCAGUGACCACAUGCUGCAUCUCCAUCUGAUUCUCAGGCAAUGAUAACUUCCUCUUACGAAAGGCAGCUACGAAAACCUGUCAAAAAGUAAAAAAAAAAAAGGGGGGGGGGCGCAACAAACAGAUCAUGUUUUUUGUUUGUUUAAUUAAUAAAAAAUUCUUCUUGCUCACUCGGCGGAUGAACCUAUGUACCUGAAGGAUUCUUGUGAGGGGGCUCCCCGUGGGCUUCUGGUGCCGGUAGAAUGGCAAGCCGAUGCCGACGACGACCGUGCCGACGAGCACCAUGAGCGCAGAGAGGGCGAAGCUGAGGCCCCAGCCCUCGUUGUCCUGCACCCACACCAAGAAGACGAGCCCCACGAACCCUCCCAGCGAGAUGCCGAAGGCGAACCAGUUGAAGAAGCUAAUCUUGCCGUGCAGCUCCGCCGGGUCGUCGCCGUCGAACUGGUCGCCGCCCAGCGCCGCCGCGCAUGCACGCAGUGAGCCCUCGCCGACGGGGAUCAGGUACAGGCCCAGGCUGAGCAAGCUCAGGUUCCGACCGCUCACCGCCGUGCACUCGUCGGGGUGGUUGGUGACGUCGCACGGCGGCGGGUGCAGCGACGGGAAGUGAGCUUGGAAUGCUAGGAGCAUGUAGCCCUGUCCACCAAAUCGUCACAACUUACCGAGAUGAAUUUUAUCCAAUAUUGUUGUUUGCAUACGUUUUCAAUCUAUAUAUUUUGCACGAUGAUAUUUGUGAUUGAAGGGAAUAUUUGCUAAGGGAUUUACACAGAUUCAGAACUACUCAUCCAUGAUCAAAUGAUACUCACCAUGAUCUCGAUGGGGGCGAAGAUGAGGAUGGUGUAGAAGCGCUUGAUGUAGGAAUCGGAGACGAAGGCACCGAGAAAGGAGAAGAAACAUAUAGCCCCGAAAAAGUUAGUGGAGGUGGUGGAGGCAUCCUUCACUCCCAUGUGCAUCGUCCCAUGCAAGUAGCUCACUAGAUUCAAUAUCACCGGUAUAUUUGCUAUAUUUGCCAUCACGAUGAGAACUGUAAACACAGUGAAACAUAUGUGUUAACUGUUAACGAUCAUGAUUUAGUAUUAGCAAACAUAAGCCUCAAUAUCAAUGGUGUAUUUGCUACGAAAAGGAUAAGGAUCAAUGUACUGACAAUGGAUGAACACGCUGGCUUUCACUCCACCAUGUCUCUUUUGGUUAACUGGCCGUCCCCUCCAGUCUGCAAGACCUUGCAAAGCCAUAGUUUUCGGCAGUGUCCCAACACCUAUGCUAAGGCCUGCAAAACAAACUUCUCUUGAUUUUGGUGUUGCUCGAGCUCCUCACUAUCUUUAUAGGCAGCAUGCAUGUAUAUGCAUGUAUAUGCAUGUAUGUAUCUUAGACAUAUUAUAUAUCUAAGUACCUAUAAAAACCAAAACGAAAAGCCAAAACGAGUAGUAUUUUGAGAUGGAGGGAGUAUCACUUUGUAGCAGAGCUAUUCAAUACUGGAAAAAUAAAAGUGCACGCAAAAUUUAGUGAGCUUUAUUAAACUUAUAAUUCAUCUGAACUCAUCAUGAUUUCACAUAUUUUUCCAUGUUAAAUCUGACAACAAAAAUCUCAUCCAAAAACCUGAUAGAAAUAUAGCGGCAGAUGAAACAAAAAUUUACACAUGGACACAUGGUUUACCAAAUUAACAGACAUUUACAUAAAUUUCUUUAAAUUAAUUCAUCCUCAUGUUUCUGUUGCCUAACCCCUGCUCUGUACAUUCAGUUGUCGUGAUACUGAAUGACAAUAACUAUUUUGGUUGUUUUUGUUUGGUACCGUAGCUCAAACACAUUUAUAUAUAGGUAAGUUGUCAAUGCAUUCGCAUGUAAUAUAAUAUACCCUUCACUUCAUACAAUUUAUCUGAUUAUUUUAUAUGAGCUAACAAACAAAUUAUUUGAGUAUAUAUGAUUGUUCAAAUCAACAUCACGAAAGGUAAGUUCCAAGUCCUGUAUUUUUGUUAAAUUAUUUAUAGAAGAAAUUGUGUCCUGUUAGGGACUUAGGAGGCUCUUCCUCCAUCAUGAUGUACUUUCUUAGGACUAUUUGCACCAGAUAUUAUUAUGAAACUCCCCCACCCCCCUUUUUUCUGGUGUGUUAUCGCUGAUACGGAACUUCUUGGUCCAUUCAGCUUAUCCAGCCAAGCGCUAAGAUGCUAAUACUUACAACUUCAAAGCAGAGAUUAAUUUAUAAAUUCUUGAGGAGAAAUAUAAGUCGUAGAUAUUUGAUGUGCUGCCCUAUAACUUAUCAAAUUGAUGACUCAUCUGGACUUAUCAUCUUCACUAUAUAUAGAGAUGUAUAAUGCACAAGAGCUGCCGCCACACAAUGAUUUGGAAUAUUAUUUCCACCUGGAACCUGACCAAAAAAAAUACCUUGGUAAGGAAUCUGAUGAAAAAUAUAGACACCCGAUGAAACAAAAGAAAUGCAUCUCUAGUACUUUCAAAUGUCCUCCCAUGAUUGACAAUAACAAUAAUUUGAUUAGUAGAGCAAACAGCACUUAUAUGUAGGUAAGCUGUCAGUGCAUUAUGAUGCGGCCUAUUUGUGUUCGUUGGAUAUACUCUUUUAAGAGUAGAGUCUUUCUUUUAAUUUUUUUUUACUAUUAUUGAUAUUGUCCUGUGCAGUAGAUGCCGCAACCUGUUUGCAUUCUGUUUGUAUGAUUAAACUACUUUAUCGGAUCCAAUAAAGAACUAUUCGAGUACAUGAUUCUGCAAGAAGUUAUCAACAACAAUCAAUUAUUGGGAGAUUAAUAAAAGGUAAAUCAAAAGUUCUUUAUUUAAGUUUAACUAUUAUCAUAAGAAAUUUGGCCCUCACUGGCAGAAAAUGCCAAUGAGUAUUAGUCCCGGUUAGAGAGACGCAUAGGUGUUGAAAAUCGAACCGGGACUAAUCUGUUGAGACUAAAGUCCCCCCUCUUUAGUCCCGGGUAUUUCACCCGGGACUAAAAAUGUUCGACAAAUAAAAAAAAUGGACCACCCACAUCAUCCUGCCUGCUCCCACCACUGCUCCUUGCAGCUCCACCUCGACCACCGCACCACCUCCUCGAGCUCGCCCGCCAGACCUGAGUCUGCCGGCGCCAGCUCGGCUGCCCACUCAGCUCGCCCGCCCGCCCGCACCGCUGUGUCGCUCCGCCUGGAAGAAAGGGAAAGGAGGAGGAGAGAAGAUACGGAAGAAGAGAAAGAGCGCUGCCUACGCGAGAUAAGGGAGAAAUGGAGAGGAUGAGAGAAGAAAGGGGGAACUGAAGGUCCCGGUUGGUGAGGCAAGGCGUUUAGUCCCGGUUGAAAACACCAACCGGGACGGAACCCCCCUCCAGUUUCAGUUGGAAUUACCAACCGGGACUAAAAUUCCAUUAAAUUCUCAAGCAGUGGUAGCUUCCUUCUCCUAAACGCCGCCACGAAAACCUGUACUAUCCACAUAAAUUAGUAAAAAGAAAAUCAAACUUGCUUGUACCUGCAGUUUGCAAGAAUUUCGUCAAAUUUGUUAACAUAGCGAGAUGGCGAAUGAUGAAUGAAAUUAUAUAUGUGCCUGAAGGAUUCGCGUGACAGGGCUCCCAGUGGGCUUCCGGUGCCGGUAGAACGGCACCAUGAGCGCAGCAAGCGCGAAGCCGAGGCCCCAUCCCUUGUUGUCCUGCACCCACACCGAGAUGACGAACCCAAGGAACCCUCCCAUCGACAUGCAGAUUUCGAACCAGUUGAAGAAACUAAUCUCUCUUUUUUUAGAUUAAAAACAAGAAACUAAUCUUGCCAGGAAGUUCUGUGGGAUCGUCUUCAUCGAACUGAUCCCCACCCAUCGCAGCCGCGCAUGCUCGUAAUGCGCUCUCGCCGAUAGGAACUAGGUAUAGGCCAAGGGUUAGCAAGCUCAGGUUCCGACCACUCACCGGAAUGCACUCGUUGGGGCGGUUGAUCAUGUGAUUGAUUUAGAUGCUUCAAGUGUUAACUUGUCACAUGUAUUUUAUGUUACAUUUGUUUUUUAGUACGAAUAUUUGUUUUUCAAAAAAGAAGUACAUACUUUAUUGAAUCAUCUAUUUACACUAGAUAUUAUUCAGAAGGGGCGUGGCAAAGUUCCACUGACUUUUCCCAGCAUGGUAUUCCUGAUAAGCUACUUGUCUGGUAAGCUUUCAGCGAUUUCAUUCUUGGUGCACAACUCUAAGGUUAUUUAACAGUUAGUACACAGAUGGGACUGUACUAUCAUAUUUAAGUGAAGGGCUCUCAAUUUUCAAAAAAAAAAAAGAAGUGAAGGGCUCUUCUUUACGGUCAUGGAAAAGUUAUAUUAUUGCACUUAACACAACAUUAAUUAUUGGGAAGUUAAAAUGUGAGCUGCAAUAGUUCUGUAUAAGAGUGAAAUUAAUGGUAGAAAAAAAUUUGUCUGUAAAUUUUUGGAUUUUGUGCAGGCACACACAUCCAGCACGUGUGUCGAUCGCCGCCCCACGAGCUGCAUAUCCCUGUACCUAUACGUGCAUGCCCCCAAGGGCCUACGUGAGGUGAUGGUGCCGUAUACGCCCGUACAUGUUCGUCUUUGGGCUUAUCCUAACACUACUUACUCCCUCUGCUCUCUCGCCAGGAUUAAUUUACGUUUAUUACAGCGAAAUAUAACCCAAUUUGAAUGUCUGAAACGACGACAAUUUUUGAGUUUUUGAUUGAUUUGGUGAAACUAUACCCACCCCAUAGUAGGAUCACAAAAUCCAUAGUUUCUUCAGGACUCGUCAAGUUGUGCGUGGUCAGACCUCAGCUUGCUUCUUCAGGGACGCCGGAGACACCCUGUCAUCCUCCAUCCUGGAUUGCAUUGUCCUUGGAUCAUGCCUGUAGGUGUACCUCGACGCGCACAACAGGUAGAGGAGCAAGGAGACGAGUCCGAAGAGCGCGAGCAGCCAGUAGAAGAGGUCGAGGCGGCCGGCGUCGAGGUUGGCGCCGUCGAGCCACCCGGUGCCCCCGCCGCGGCGCGCGGUGGCGCGGUUGACCAACCGGAUGAGUAAGCUCCCGAGCCAAGACGCGACGCCGAGGAUGCAGAAGAACACGGCGCCGCCGAUGGACUUCAUGCCGGCGGAUGCCUCGCCGUAGAAGAACUCGAGGAGGCCCACAAAGGAGGUGACGUCCAUCACGCCCAGCAGGAAGAACUGCGGCGCCAGCCAGAACACCGACAUCUCGGCGGCGGCGGCGGCGCCCAUGCCCCUACGGCGGGCCUCCACCGCGGCGGCCGUGGAGAGCGCAACCACGCUGCACGCGAACCCGGCGCCGAUGCGCUGCAGGUGCGUGACGCCACCGGCGUACCCCGUCGCGCGGCGCAGCCACGGCACCGCGGCGCGGUCGUAGGCGACGAGGAUCAGCAUCUGGAACACGACGGGGAUGACGAACAGGCUCGCCGGCGGGACGUGGGCGGCGCCGAGCCGGGUGUCCAUGGUGCCGCCCUGCUGCACGGUGAAGGUGAGGAGCAGCGGGAUCGGGAGGUAGCCCAGGACGGAGCUGAGGAAGAUGGGCAGCAUGCGGAGGAUGAUCUUGGCCUCCUCCACCUGCGUCACCGUGCACAGCGACCACCGCCGCGUGUCGCCGUCGUCCACGGCUGCCUUGUCCAGGAACCUUUGAAUUGAUGCAGUACGGGAACCAAAGGUUAGUCAACGUGUGCGCACCAACUUUCUGUGCAGCACGGCGACCAAGUGGUCCAACUUUUUUGAAAAUAAAUCAUCAUUGCAUUGGGUAUACAGUAUCUGUUAUGACGUUGAUUCGAUCUAAGGAUCGUCGUGACGUUGAUUCGAUCUAAGGAUCGUCGUGACGCGAGACUUUCGUCAUAAAUUUUAUAUUUCAUCACAAAAAUACAAUUUUUAUAACAUUUUUGCUUUGCACUACUACUAUAGCAGAAUGGCAAAUCUAUUGGAGUGAGACUAAAACUGGGAAAACCAAUUUUCAUUCUGCAGUGACAAAACUGCUGAGAUGGCUUUGAGAUUUGCACUGCAGUAGUGCAGUAACACACCUCUUGCUGCAUGACAAAGUUCCAGCACAAAGUAGAAUUGAUUUGCUUGUAUUCAAAUAUAUAUUUUUUUUGUUUUAUUGUUUUUGUCCUAGACACAAUGUGAAACAGAGGAGCACUGUUCUUGUUCUCGCCACCACUUACUUGAAGCCUGAAGUUCUCUCCAGCACUUCGAUGCUGGUGCCUGUUCCUUGAGUGGCCUGAUGCAUCUCCAUCAAAUCAUCAGGCACUGAAAGAUUCCUCUUCCUAAAAGCAGCCACAAAAACCUGUGCUUCACACACACCAAAAAAAAGGGGGUCAGCAAAAUAAGACAAUAAUUUCUUAUAGGAAAUUAUGGUAACAAUAAAUUCCACUCCAAAAUCUUAUCAGCUUCUGGUGCCAAGUCGGAGCUGAAUGUACCUGAAGGAUUCUGGUGAGUGGGCUCCCCGUGGGCUUCUGGUGCCGGUAGAAUGGCAGGCCGGCGAGGAGGACGAUGGCGCCGAGGAGCGCCACGAGCGCGGAGAGCACGAAGCCGAGGUCCCAGCCCUCGUUGUUCUGCACCCACACCACGAAGACGAGCCCCACGAACCCUCCCAGCGAGAUGCAGAAGGCGUACCAGUUGAAGAAGCUCAUCUUGCCGCGGAGCUCCUCCGGGUCGCCGCCGUCGAACUGGUCGCCGCCCAGCGCCGCCGCGCACACGCGCACCGCGCCCUCGCCGAGCGGGAUCACGUACAGGCCCAGGGUCAGCAGGCUCAGGUUCCGGCCGCUCACCGCCGUGCACUCCUCGGGGUGGUUGGUGAUGUCGCACGGCGGCGGGUGCAGCGACGGGAAGUGCGCUUGGCAUGCUAGGAGCAUGUAACCCUGUCCAUUGUUGGCAAGAAACAAGCUGAUGAUCAAACAGUUCAGCAUCAAAUAAUUUGCAAUCUAGCAAUUUUUUUAUGAUACUCACCAAAAUCUCGAUGGUGGCGAAUAUGAGGAUUGUGUAGAAGCGUUUGAUGUAGGAGUCGGAGAUGAAAGCACCAAACAAGGUGAAGACGCAGAUUGCACCAUACAAGUUAGUGGCUGUGGUGGAGGCGUCGGCGAUGCCCAUAUGCAUCGUGCCAUGCAAGUAGCUCACUAUGUUCAACAGCAUUGGAAUGUUUCCAAUGUUUGUCAUCACAACAAGGACUGCAAAAGAGAGUGGAAUUAAUAGACUCAUCAAUAUUAUUUUAAUCUUUAUUUACUCACAUGCAUCUUCUGGUUGCUGUGAAAAUGUAGAUUGCAGGAAUCAAUAAUAAAAGCGUGUUUGAGAAAUAAUAACAUUUUUUUCUCAAUUAGUUUUAAAAUUGAUUUGUUUUACUUUUUAAAUUGGGGGAUAUGAUAUUCCAGUACAAUUAAAUCGACUUCAACCGUUAGUUUAAUUUUUGGUAAUGUGUGGAAAAUGGUGUUGUUACUUACAGUAGAUGAACAUGGUGGCUUUCGCCCCACCAUGCUGCUUUGGGUUAACCAGCCGUCCCUUCCAGUCUACGAGGCCUUGACAAGCCAUGGCUCCAGCUAGUUCUCAGCACCUAUUGCACGCCAACAAGACUUCACUUGAUGACCAAGCUCUUAGUUUUGUGUGUGUGUGUCACUCGCCUUAUGAUCUUUGCGAGCAACAAGUGCUUUUUAUAGCCGUGGAAUGUGAGAAACCCCAUUGCGUCUUUUGUGUGCGUGUGUGUGUGGACAUAAGGGCUGCUAGUUUGGUAAACUAAGCUCAUAUAUGGUGCUGGCUUUUUCUCCGUGAUCCUGACCCGUGUUUGAUUACUAAAGGAUUUUUGUGUGAUUGCAUCCUGAAUAAUAAUUGUUACGGUACCUUCCACCAAAUCACAUGCAUGAUCCAUUCGAUACCUUGGAGCACUACUUUCUCAUAUACUUGCAGAGUAAGAUAAGAUUGCAUUUUUACAUAACUGGGGUAAAAACAUAUUGGGCUUUUCCGACCAGUAUCCCUCGAACGAGCCAAAGCCAAAAUGAUCCACAUAUCCUGACUAUUGUGGAGGAGCUCUAGCCAAGAAGGCAUUUAGGGAAAUGUUUGUCCAUCUUCUAAUAAAAAGGUAAAGUGGGGGAAUUAUUUUUUGCGAAAGAGAGCAUAGAAGAAACCCAAAACCGAUUUGUUAAGGAAAGAAUAAAUUUCCCAAAACCAAGCUACCUCUUGUUCCUAUACUACUGUCUUAAAAAAAAUUACAGUUUGCAUUGGGAUAAUAUAAUAGUGCUAAUAUUAAUGACUUUGGUAGACUUCAUGCAAAUAGAGAUAUGGUUUUGUGAGACACUAUGUGAAAAAGAAAGUGUGGAACACUGUGCCGUUAGAAGUGUGGUUGCCUUAAACUGUUGCUUAAAAUAUGUUUUUUCUCAGUAGUUUUGAUGAACUUAUAUAUUUUAUUUAAAUUUACUCUUAGGGAAACAAUGACCUGAAACAAGGAAAACGUGGUGGUCAAAUUGAGCCAACUAAAUAAAGGGUUUUUGAAAUGGCAGCAGUGCAACAUUCAUCAUUUUCAUUUAGUGAUCACAUCUAUAUCCACGAUAUCUGUUCAAGACUUAUCCAGUAAACGUGCUGCAAUCCUCCUCCUUUGGCUAGAUAUUUUUCCAUCAUUUGUCUUUUCUCGGAGAGCGACUAGACAGCAUGUAAGACCCCAGAAUAGUCAUUAACUUUAUCGGCAGCAAGUUAUAGAAUUGAUUUCUCACAGAAAUGGCCGUUGAACCUAAAAGGUGGUAAGUGCGGUGUUGGCCAUUAGCUCAUGGAAUGUCGGGGUAGCCAAAUGUGCCACAUCCUAGGUAGUUAGCUACCUAGGUAGUAGGCACGCAUGCUCCGUGACAGCAAGUGAUCCAUCACCUGAGGCAUCAUCUUCAAUAGUUGGUUCAAUAGUUAGCAUCAUCUUCUAGAAAAAAAAACUAUGAUAUAUAGAUUCCAAAAUCAACUUUUAGCCUAGCCCAUCAAAAGGAAGGGCCCACAUAUGCAUAGCAGAAAACUUACGCCGCAGUCCUCGAUUUAUAAGCUUAUAAAAGUAUCCCCAAACUAUUUAAUUCAUGCAGUGGGCUAUACCUAAUAAACCAACACGCAAACCACACGGACCAACACCAUAGUUAUGUGAACCGCCCAACCGGGGUCUCAACGGCGCUGACAUGGACGGUCUAGGAGUUUAUUGGUGAGACAUAUGGGUGGCGGUCUAGUCUACUUAUUGGUGGUUAUCGGACAUCACAGUGUUUGUGUUUUAUUUAAACAAUUAUUGUAGGGUGUGUAUACUGGUUAUGCAGAGAACAUGAGUGGUUUUCCAUGAUUUUUAUAUCAACUUAAUGUAACAAACUUGAAAAUUAAUAAAGCUUCGUUUAUUGAAAAAUAUGGCUGGCUACUAGAAGCUCACUUGCUGCAUACCAAGCAAACAAACACUUACUAAUAUAAGCAACAAACUGAUAAUUAUGUGCUUUACUGAGAUUUAUCCACAUCAAAGAAUAUAUAGAUUCACCAACUAAAUCUUCAUUCAUAAAAGCUAUGAGCCAUUUUUUUGUGGCGAACCACCGCGGUGAGGCAUGGCCUCAAGCGCACCUCACCUGAACAGGAAAUGGUGGUGCGUAGCUACCACGCUACUCCCUAAAAAGGCAUUGUUCUCAGCACUACGACCCACUACUAGUGAUUAGUGAAGGCAUGUAUCACAAGGAUCUUUAUUUUCUCGGCCUGCAUCCACAGAUUAGACAUCAUGUUGUGAUAAUGCUACUUUCUAGGAAGCGUACAUCAUUUUGACUUUGCUAGCAAAAAGGUAAGAUAAUUCAUGAAAAAGAAUAAUCCUUUUGGCAUUAUCCACACACAAGGUUGAGUUGGAGGACACACAAGAUGCCCUGUACAUGCCAUUGAACCAUUGGCAGUCCACUGACGAGUGAUCUCAGUGAGUUAAGACGUCACCAUCCUCUGCCAUACGUUGUGAUUUCAGUUGCUAAUGCUGUUUAGUUGGACAGGGAAAUAACUAAGUGCGAUAUAUACGCCGGCAUUUGCUGUGUAAUUAGGUAGUGCUUGUUUGGCCACUCAAAUAACAAGAGGACACAGAGGAUGAAAGCUACUGGUCUGUGGUCACCAUUCGCUCUACUUCCUAAGGCUGGUCACUGUUAAGCUAGCUAGAACCUGCACUGGUUACAUUCAUUGUGGGAUCAGGUUAUGGAUGACCGUACGCUCUGAUCCCCGUAGAACACAGUGUGAGGCGACCGAUGUAGACGCGGGAAAAAAAAAAGCUGUUGAUAUUUUUGUAAAGCAAUUUCUGUUUUCGCUUGAGCUUUAGUACCACUUAUCUUACAUCGUACUUAUCUCAUACGCCAAACUGGUGAAUGCACCCGAAACCUAGUACUGUGAGCACAAUCGACUUUUGUAGCACGCUGGCUGCUUGACCAGCAGCGCGAGCUGGGCUGCUGCCGGCCCGCUAGUGUGCUUACAAGCCUGGCCUAGCACGAUGGCUUACAGCUACCCUGCAUGAAAUUUUUUUACUGAUUUUGUUACCCGCGUCAAUCGUUUCUGGCCCUCGAGAACUGGAAUGUUAUCUAGGCAUUCCCUAGAUUUUACUGAUAUGGACUAAAAAAAAUAAGAGAACUAUGCCACGAUGGGCCGAUGGCGACACGUGCCCCGAAAGUGUAUCUUCUGUCCCCUCAAUUUUUCUUUUUUGAGCCUUUCCGUCUCCUCAAUUGGCAGUGCAACUAGAUGUUAGGUGGUUGGGCCACUGCUUAUUCAAAAUCGGACAACUAACAUAAAGCCCACCGGGCCAGAAGCUACUACCCUUCUAGGCCAGCAGACCAACUAAAACCUCAGUACGUCAGAACAAAAUAUUAAGUAUGAACAUAACAGAAUAUUUGAUACAUGAACGGGUUAAGUAGUAUGCAGAGAUUAAAUUGUUCUACGGUGAAACCACGGAACCAAGUGUUUAUAUGUGAGUUUGCAGUGUGAUAGUAAAAUAUUCCAAGAGGAUACUAAGUUGGAUGAUUUUUUUUUCUUUAUAUGAAAAUCGUAGCUCUCAAUAAGAUCUACUUAUAUAGUUGACAAGCUUUUAAUUUAAUGUCAUCAAGAUUCCUAAAUAUCAAUAAAAAGAUCCGGUCAAUAAAGGUCGAGAGGUUAAUUACCCAUGGCAGCUCCGAGGGAAUAUAACCGACGACGUUGGAUGCCAUAACUAGGUACCACGUCGCCAUGCACCUUUGCCUGGAUCUGGAGAGAGAUCGAGGCAGCAAGAAGCUAGCAAAGCAGAUGUGGGUGUGUGGUCCAUGAGAUCCCUAUUUAGAUCCAACAUGGUGCCGGAGCCACAGUGCGUGAGGGCCACCGUUCCACACGCACCAGCAAUGCUGAAUUUUUGAAUAAUUUACCAAGUAAUUUGCUUUAUCGACAUUGCAAUGCUAUAAGAACAAGACCACAUUUUUGCAAGAUAGGAGGAGAUCGGACAGUCGGCAUUUUCUCAGCAAAUGCCUCGGGGUUUCCUGAAUAACGACGAGGAAGAAAAAUUACCCCGGGUAAUAAUAUAUACUGUCCAUGUCGGCGAAGGAAGAAUAUAAUGGAACACCGUCAAGUUAAUGAUUGGCCUUGCAGGUACGAUGAAGAAACAGGAACGGCAGGCACCAUUAUACAUUGUCCAUUGAGGACUCACGAUCAGCAGCAGCGGGCACGCGAAAUCAUGUGGCCACCAGCAGCGGAGCAACUGACGACGGCAGGUGGCGAUGCGUGUGGCUGUGGCCUCACAGUGUUCAUGUGAAGCGCUGCAGCAGUGGUCGAUCGGAACAGUCCUCGAUCAUCUUCAAUUCCCCCCACGCAAUCAAUUCGUUUCCGCCGUUUCUCUGCUCUUUCGCCUGGUUUACCGGCGAAGAAAGAAACAGAGGCCGGAUCAGGGGAACCGUCAGGUGAGUACUGGACAGUGGGCACUAGCAGGAGCGGUAGUUUUUCAUGGUAAAAAAUAGUGGAAACGGCUCCUAGUCUCCUACCUCCUGGCUCCCUCUCUUCUCUUGAGCUGACUCAACAGGUGCACUUGUUUCGGUUUCCAGGUGAAACGAAAAGAGUUGAUAACUCAAGAUGGCCUGUGCAUGUACAUCUCAUUUCUUGGAGAAAAGUUACUCUCUUUAAUUUGUAAAGACAGAAUUCACAUGGAACCGACUACCAAAGGCAACUGUCAUGCAUGUUCAAAGCUCCGGCUUCUAAUCUGCCACCAUUAGAUCAUGUAUGGCACAUGAUUUGCAUUUCUUUUUCUGUCUGAAUCCAACAGGGUUGUGUUUAGUUUUGUUCCAGACUUUCAGUCAAAGCGCAAACGGCAGAUCUUUGUGCAGAAUAGUUGGAGAAAGGGAGAGAGAAUCAGAGGGAGGCGUUGGCGUUAAACAAAUCAAGCACAAAUAUAUAUAUGCCAAUGAUUAAGAACAACAAUAACAGGGAUGAUCCAUUAAUCUAUUCAUCCUAUGAGCUCCCAACUAGAUGCACACAUUUUCCAACGAACUAGUAUUCUGGAGAUGGGUGAUGACCACUGCAUAGGCAGGAAAGGGGAUAGCUUGCACAAGACUACAAAAGAGAACAGCAAGGUUGCCAGGUGAUGAAGGCUCAACCCCUCCAUUGCCAAUAUUAGCCUCCAUACAGAAAAUAUAUGAAAUUGUUUUAUUUACUUCAUAAUGAGAUUAACAUUUUAUUUGUUCUUGUACAAAAUGUGUUACUUUAAAUUUUGUGUGGUGAUAGUUUAGAGAACAAAUAUAUAUCAUGUAUGUGUUAUAUAUCAAACUUUUAAUAAUUAUUGUAAAUUAUCGAUACUUAGUUUUACCAUUAAACUAUGAAAAUGCAUAAAAAUAAUUAAAAUGUAAAUACCCUCUCUUACAUGCAUCUGUUAUGGCUUCAUCCAUCCCUCUAAAAGUAUCUAAACUUGAAAGUUAUCUUGUACGGGGAGAAAUUUUUUACUAGAGGGUGAAAUUUUUUUAGAAGAAGGGUUGGAUUUCAUUAUCACAGUACGUUUACAUCCAGCCCCUUGAACAGGGUGCCUCUAACGAUAGGAAAAAUUACAAUGAAUUCCACAACAGGAGCACCCAAUGAUCCUCGUCGCCGCCGACCGCCAUUGCUGUUGCUCGAGCCUUCUCCAUCUCCCACAAUGAAGAAGAACCCAAGAUGAAACUCACGGUCGGAACCUGAAUCAACAAAAAGAUCUUCAAAGCCCAUCAUCAGCACACUAGAAGCAUGAUGUUUAUCCGUUGAACGCUCCGGUAGUCCUCGCAUUCACUGGGCUCCGUCGUCGAUCGCCUCACCAAUGACACCCAAGCAGCAAUCCUACAAAGGUAAUUGAAGAACACCAGCUCACACACACGAGCAAGUGGAGAACAAACCGAGUCUGACCUAGCUUUAUUACUUUGGACGAGAAACCGAGUGAAUUGUGUAAUAAUGUAGUAUAUGUGGGUUAAAGGAACAAAUUGAACGGUUUUGGAUUACCUGUUAUGCAUUGAAAGCAAAGUUACAGAAUGGGAUAUUCCGAUAAUCAUAUUGUCCAUUUCGGAGACCCUCGACGACAGUGACCUUAUGAACCCAUUUCGCCACUAUGGUCCCAUUGAUGCUUUUGUUCGGGCUCAUAACUUUUUGAAAGGAAUCAAGAAAAGAAAUAUUAAAGAGAUUUUUUUAGCUCAAUCGUACAAAAUCGUGCACAUCAACACACCCACGUACGCACGCCAUGCAAAAUUGUAGCUCCUCCUAAAAACACAAAGGUUCCACCACAGCCCAUGCUUAAAAUCAAAUGUCUUGAGGAUUUUCACUUUCACCCACGCGCGAUGAACAAAUCAAACAGCAAGUUGUCGAAACAGCGCCUACACGACACGUGCGCUCCUGCAUAUCGGAGGAAGUGCAAGCGUUAGUUGGGAGAAGCAGAGGUGGAUGCCACGUCGGCAUCUCGAGCUGCUGGAUCUGUCACCGGCGAGUGACGACGUGGGCCACCGGAUUUGUAUCGAGAUCCGGCACCGGAGGAAUAGUAGUGCUGGAGGCUCACCUGCUCCUGAAAACCAGAAAUCUGAAUCUGAAUAAUGUGGGCACCUACCUGCCUGACCCCCACAAUGUCACGGUUCCUAGCUAGCUACGGAAAGGAACCAAGCCAGCCAGCAUCAAACACAUGAACAACCUCAAGCUAGCAAGUGCAUGCUUUGGUUUGGAGGUUUUGUUUCAUCAGGCUCGCUGAUUGAUGAUGUUCUUCAGGUAAUGCCAGCCUUGUGAUCAAUCAAUAAUCCAACCCCUGACAGGCAUCUACUAAUUUCUGCAUGGAACCGGCUGUCAGGCCAGCACUGUUGUCCAGACCACAUCCACUGUCCGGCCAGCGCAUCAGGCACAGGUGUCCUCUCUUUUCGCUAAAACAAACAGUAAAAUCCCUUGGGUGGGGGUCACUACAUAACAAAGAACAAAUUACCGUGGGCACCCAGAUGUCCAUGUCGGCAGCUAGAGACGGUAGGAUAACCAUUUGGGUUUGGCGGUUAGCUUGGCAGCACAAUGAUCAGGACGCAUGAUCGCCGAGCACGCCAACUCAUGUGCGGAACAGUGAGCCCGAGGCGGAGCGUUCAUGUGAAGCUGCAGUGCAGUGGCGCGAGCAAACCGACGGAACUCACUCAAGCACUAAUCGCUCAUGGGUCCGAGUCCUUUUUGGCCUUCCGUUUCAAUUCAAUUCAUGAUUGUGGCAGCAACAGGGAAGCUGAUGGAUGGGUAACCGGCAAAGGAACAGGCGCCGGCUCAGGUGAAAGAACUAGUGGCUUUCUUUUCUUCUUUUCUUUAUGUUUUUGCCUUUGAAACUGUUCAUUAGUUUCAGUACUAGUUAGUGGAGCAAGUUCAUUACUGUACCAUAAUCGCGAAAAUAAACAAUCAAUUCUUCUGGUAGCAGACGGCCGCAUGACAGAAACGCUUGUUCAUUAUCUUUUUUAGGAUUUUUUUUUUGGAGUUUCAGGAGAGGGGAAGAAAAGGCUCACUGCAUAUGCAGGGCAACAUGACAAAAGGCACUCUUUAAUUGUGUGACGGUUCACAUGGAACUGGUGUAGAAGAAAAUUGUCAUGUUCUCAAAGUUCAGUGUUCCCAACUGUUAGCCAGCCUUCCAGUCCAGGUGGUAUCUGGCUUGGAAUCUUUCGAUUCGAGCUGGAAACGCACUUAAAAAAUUCAGAAACAGCAGUGCACAUGACUGCAUCUUUUUUCCUCUGAAUCCAUCAGCUCCGAUUCUAGUCAAAGCGCAGAUCUUUGCACCAAGACUUGACUAAACAAGUAGAGUAGUAGCACAGGGGAGAAGGAUUAAGAAAUCAGUCACAGACAGAUGCCAAUGAUUAACAACAGCAAAUCAAGCGGACAGCUGUGGCGACUAAUGAUUAAGAACGGCAACAAGAAGAUUGGGAUCCAUCGACUUAUUUAUUCACUCUGAUCGAUCCCCCAAUAGGCACUACAUUAAUCAAUUACUCUGAACAUUAUUCCGAUAGGUUACUACAAAUACUAGUUUAUUUCCUGGAGAUCGAGUGGCUGGGCGCUGAGUUGGCACUAGGCAGCAGGCAGGUCGCUCAGCUGGAUCGGCGAGAAGCAAGUCGGCCACCAAACUCCCCAGCACCCCAGCUGCAAUCAUGGCAGCCGCCAACGCCCGCCGUCGCAGCAUGCAGCAGGGACGGGGACGCCGCGCUCCGAUCACUUUACAGCAGCAGCAGUGACGCGCUCGCGAUCUGAUCCCGUCAUCGUCCAGCGGGAUACUGGCC